GUGUCAAUGGAGUAGUGGUAACCUUGGUCGUUGUCAGACAUUGUUGAUUCGACCAGCCGCGAGUUUAAUUCUUGCUUGAUGUA